GGGAGGAGCUGGAGGGGCGGCCCGCGGUUGCCGGAGGCGUGGGCGCCUCUGCCUCCCUCCCCGCAGUCGCUGGGCUCGGAGGAGGCGCCCUGCCUGGAGGAAAGAAGAGGAGCUGCUGGAGAGGCUGCGGCUUCUCCUUCCCUGGAGGCUGUCCAGAAGAGGCUGGGUCCGCACGGGUCCCACAGGAGGUUGGACGAGGUGACUGGGAAGGUCCCUGCCAACUCCAGAGCUCGCAUUUGCCCCCUCCCUCUCCCCUCUUUUGUCUACACCUUGUCUCCCUCGCCAUAAGGCUUACACCACACUGUUUACCGCAGGCUGCCGCUGAAAGACCUUGGGGAACUCACCAUCCCAGUAGCACAGGGUCAUCCAGCCUGGUGCUACUGCAGUAACCAAUGGUCUCAUUAAAACUUCCAGGUUUGCAGCUUCAGAAGACUUUCAGCACUGGUCCUACUCAAAAAGCUCCCACUUCCAUGAAUUGAUGAAGAUGAUGUAGCAAGUGGCAGAAAGCCUGCUAAAGUUAACUUCAUAAUAACCAAAUCUUUGCCUAAAAAGCACCUUGGACCUGGAGUUUAUGACUUGAGAAGACAGUUGUUACUGAAUUAAAGGAGACAUUCCCAUGCUGUCAACAGACUUACAUUUCUGCUGAAAUAUUUUCCAGAGAAAAUAGUUUCCUUCCUUGACUUGGAUAAAUAAAAAGAAGUUGAGGUGGUUAGGGUUGCUAAUGACAGUGUGGUAGCCAAACACUGGGAGAAAUUAUGUAGGGGGUAUAGUACAAAGUAUGGUUAGUUAUGCAUUAGAAACUGUCAUGCAUCUUUGCAUGCUCUAGUCCUGUUGCUUUUAAAUGCAACGUACUCUGCCUACCCAGCUGCUGUGAUCUUACCUGAUUUCAGGAGCUCAGGUAGAUGAGGGUGUUUCAGGCUAGAAAUGCAAAAAGCUGCACUGGGAGUUUGGCAGAUAGUCCUCCACCUUAGUGAUUAGCCAGUACCCUAGCAUGGUGGUUUGGCAUGCUGUGUUGUGCCAGGGUGCUGCUUUUCAGAAGAGGAGUGAACUGGAAGACCUGGACUCCUUUGGCUAACAGAAUUGCCAGAGCAUUAUUUCCUAAGCGCAGUGUUUUAUCCCAUGACUGACUCAAAUACCGCAGGUGAUUGUAUUCCGUCUCUCCAGAUCUGUCCUGCAUUUCCAGUUGGACAGAAAAAUCUGACACCUGUAUUAAAGGACCGUAAAAGGAA